AGGAGGAGAAGGCGGACGAGGAGGACGGAGGUGGUCGGAGGUAGUAGGGGGUGGUUCUUGUAUCGCCGACCAGUCAGUGAGUACGCUCAGGCCAAGUACUGGCUUGGGCUUACCAUUGUGAAGACUGUGUUACUCAGAAGGUGAAUGCAGCCAGCAUCAUGUUGAAAUCGGAAACUCUCUGAUGUUCUGCAAUAAGUUCUUAACUCUACCGUUGGAACAUCUCACGGAGCAAUUUUUUGUUGUCACAUAAAAGCCAUAAAGGCGACUGUCUUUAUAUUCUUCAUCCAAUGCAGGUGCUUUUUCGCUCGCCGUUUCUCUCCUGUUGGUCCUAGGCUCGUUUCGCUGCGUUUUGUGAGUUCUUGAGGGUCCAAUCAGUCAGAAGAGGGUCAUUUACAUUGAAUCUGAGACCAACAACUUUUGGCUACAAAAUCGAAGGAAAACUUCCACCUCCACGUUGCGAGAUCCAGGUGAACUUGUGCUGCCCCUUCCGCAUUCUGAGACUUUUCGUCACUCCCUGACGGUCAGAGGCGCUCGAUACUGGAACUCUCUACCUACCGAACUCAGGUCUGUCUCGAUGCUUGCUGUUUGUAAACGCGAUCUAUAUCAGCAUCUCUUCCGGACGGAAGAGACCCGCUCUUGAUGGCGACUCGUCAUCUAGUCUUCUCCACUUCAUUUUACGCACGUUUCUUCGUUGCUGCUUUCUUAGCUUUAUUCUGCUUUCUUGUCGUUUCUUUUCUUAUUCGCUUUUUUUUUCUGAAAUUGUCUUCGCCGUCUUUCUCUGUUCUAUUCUCUGUUCUAAUUUUUUAUCCUUAGAUCUUAAAUAGUAAUAUAAA